rnacentral:lncRNA from 1 species
AAAGACAGUUCAUACACUGUUAUAUCACAGUGUGAUUAUUGCUGAAAUAAAGCUAAGCAUAAGAGGCUAUGACAGCACAAAAGAAGGAGUGAAAACUCAGUUUCGAAGGGACAAAGUCAAGGAGACUUCAAAGAUGAGAAAUGAUUGCACUGGGCCUUAGAGAGGAAGUUCAGCAGAACAAGGUGGGAAGGGCACGAUAUCAGAGUAAGAGGCACUGAUGGUGAACAAAUAUAGAGACUGGAAUCCAGUGACGUCACACAGGCGCUCUGGAAGCCAGUGAUGCAGUAUCAGAAUCUGGGAACACAAUGAGGCAAUGUUUCAGCUGCUUGUGCAUUCUUCACCUCCCAUUGUCUCUGUCUCUCUCUUUCUCCUCUGCUUCCCCUCACCCCACAACCAAAGUCAAGAGCGCAGACCCCAUGAUCACCUGAUACUUCCAAGCAAGCAGGUGUUCUUUUCAGAAGCCAGAAGCUGAUAACCUGGGCUUUCUGAUCUAACCCCAGCCCAAAUUCAUUGCAAUGGAGGAAUUGGGGAGGAGAUUCUUCCUACUGAGAAGUGGGUGCCAACUCUCCCUUUCAAAUUUGUUCAUCAACAAACUAAAGGGGAUGCCAGAAAUGUCUGGAGCAAUGGAAGAACCACUGGAAUAAUGCUCCUGCCUGAUUGUAUCUACUUAACCCACUCUCCAAGAGCCAGAAUCAGAUUUCAACCGUAUGGAAUCAUCUACAAUGCAGCAGAUGGGUUUACAAGUCUCUUGGUCUCUUCAUGAAGAAGGCGCAGCAAUCGUGUCCCAAGUCCUUGAGGACUUCACAGGGUGUUCUAGUGUCCUGAGAAUAUACCUGCCUAAGGCACUGUGGUGGGAUUCUGCCAUUCGAGAAUCUCAGACUAAGAUCAUCUGUUUCAACAAGCAUCGAUCAAGCACCCACAUUGCAGCUGGCACUCUGCUUGAUGGUGAGAUGAGUGUCAAGACCAGUUCCUUAUUUUACAGGGAAGGCCAUCAAGGUUGAAAGUGGAAAUUUCCCAAGGUCAGAGACAGAGUGGUAGAGCCAGUCCAUGCAUUCUGGUCUCCUGUCUCCUGUUCCAGUGCUCAUUCGUGACACUGCUGCUCUCCCUAACACUUCAUCCCACGAGAAUACUCUUGAGAAUAUUGUUCUUGGCUGUUCCAAAUAGAAAGAUCAUCUGUCCAUUA